rnacentral:lncRNA from 1 species
AUAUAGUAAAGAAAGCACAUAAUUGGUAUGAGAUAGAAAUACGGGGGAAAGAAGCACAAAAUAAUGCGCUGGAAGCAGGCUACCAACUAGUCUAGCCGAGCCACACAACCGACCAGAGCUGAACGGCCCAGUCGAACUGGACAUCAGUCAUCCAAAGCUAGACAACAGCAACCCCCUUCUCUCGAACAUACCUACUCAUGCUCUACUAGAACAUCCCUGAGGUAAGUCCUUCAAAUCCCAGUGCUUCUCAAAAUAUGGUUGAAAUUGUGAAAAAAUUACAUGGAUGAGCAAACAAGGGAAUACCACCAGACACAUUCCCACUAGAAGGCAAGGUGAAAUAUGUCAUUGUUGAUUAUAUCUCCACACACAGAUUGCCUCCUCAAGCUAAAGCAUUUGUCUAUCCGAUUGAAGGAAUUAAAAUUCCUAAUAGAUUGGAAGAAGCUUU